rnacentral:rRNA from 1 species
AUUGAACGCUGGCGGCAUGCUUUACACAUGCAAGUCGAGCGGCAGCGCGGGGGCAACCCUGGCGGCGAGCGGCGAACGGGUGAGUAAUGCAUCGGAACGUAUCCCGGAGUGGGGGAUAACCUAUCGAAAGGUGGGCUAAUACCGCAUGAGCUCUGAGGAGGAAAGCGGGGGACCGAAAGGCCUCGCGCUGUGGGAGCGGCCGAUGUCCGAUUAGCUAGUUGGUGGGGUAAAGGCCUACCAAGGCGACGAUCGGUAGCUGGUCUGAGAGGAUGAUCAGCCACACUGGGACUGAGACACGGCCCAGACUCCUACGGGAGGCAGCAGUGGGGAAUUUUGGACAAUGGGGGCAACCCUGAUCCAGCCAUGCCGCGUGAGUGAAGAAGGCCUUCGGGUUGUAAAGCUCUUUCGGACGGAACGAAAUCGCUCGGGUGAAUAAUCCGGGUGGAUGACGGUACUGUAAGAAGAAGCACCGGCUAACUACGUG